UCUCUCCCUCUCUCGCUCUUCACACACAUGCAAAAUCAUCCCUCCCAUCAGCCCUCGCUCUCUCAUAUCAGUGUUUAAUUAAAUGUUUAAUUAAAGCAGCUCCGCUCUGUUUGAAAUCUCACUUAAACCCUGCAGUCACACUCACUCAACGGGUUUCUCACUUCCCUGCCCUUCUUCACACAGAAAAAACUGCUUCUGCGAACAUCUCAAAGGGAAAAGCAGCAACAACAAAUAGUUGUUUACUCUACAAGGUCCAAAAUGGUUAAUUGGUGUGUGAAUUAAGAAAAUUGGCCCCAGUUUAUAUUAGGCAACUUUAACCCUAUGCAACAUGAAAAUACUAUACAAUGUAUUUAUUGUGUAACAUGUUCUGCAAAAUUCUCACAAGAUUCACAUUUGCUGCUACUGAGGUUUCGUGUUGGGUUAGGUUUAGGUGGUUAGGGUAAUGGUUUAGGUGAAGGGUUAGGAUUUAUGGGAAGUGUUGGGUUAGGUUUAGGGGGUUGGGUAAUGGUUUAGGUGAAGGGUUAGGAUUUAGGGGACGUGUUGGGUUAGGUUUAGGGGGUUGGGUAAUGGUUUAGGUGAAGGGUUAGGAUUUAUGGGAAGUGUUGGGUUAGGUUUAGGGGGUUGGGUAAUGGUUUAGGUGAAGGGUUAGGAUUUAUGGGAAGUGUUGGGUUAGGUUUAGGGGGUUGGGUAAUGGUUUAGGUGAAGGGUUAGGAUUUAGGGGACGUGUUGGGUUAGGUUUAGGGGGUUGGGUAAUGGUUUAGGUGAAGGGUUAGGAUUUAUGGGAAGUGUUGGGUUAGGUUUAGGGGGUUGGGUAAUGGUUUAGGUGAAGGGUUAGGAUUUAGGGGACGUGUUGGGUUAGGUUUAGGGGGUUGGGUAAUGGUUUAGGUGAAGG